CUUCGCUCAGCAGAGGGAGGACAACGUGCAGCUGUUAUCAGUGUAACUCACAAGGGCUGGAUCGUGCCUGGAGAGCAUGACCCUCCCACAGCAGGAGAUAUCACUCAGGCCCAGGGCAGGCAGAGUCUCCAACACACCCAGAGCUGCAGAUCAAGGUUUCCAUCAAUAGAGAAAAGGAUGGUGUAGAGAGCCCAGCAUAUCACGAUUCAGUGCAACAGAGAGACAGGGUCAGUUAUUAAACCAUCGUCAGCCUGCAGGGUUUUCAGCAUUUGAGGGACCUUCCUGGUUCUGCCAUUUCUUAAAAACCCAGUUCACUGAUGAGAAGUUUCAAGUACAGCUUGGCAAAUCCAGAGGAUGCCGGGGGAAGCAGCUGAUACAAUUCACAUGUUCACUCAUCUACUGCAUAUGGAAUAUAAGGAAGAGGAGUCCCACAAAAGUCCUGAUGAUACUUUGGUCCAGUUUCACCUGAAAUCAAAAAGAUUGUAUUGCUUCAGUCUGUCCCUGGGAAACCACUAAGACAAGAAAUGCAUUUUCAGUUGCAUUAGGGCUUGUGCUGGACCCCAGAGCCCAGAAUGACUCUUAGGAUUAGGACUAAAAAUCAAGAAACUCAGUAAAUACAAGUGAAUUCAAUUGAAAGGAUGGAAUACGUGCAGGGUUUCAGAAAAUUCUAAGGACCUUUAGUUUUGGAAACAUUUCUGCAACAAAAUAUGUUGCCUGUGUUUUAAGAGAGGUUCGGUGACUCCAACAACAUCAAUUCCAGCUCACAGCUGCCUUUGGAUGUGGAGUCCUUGGCUCUGCAUGUGUGUAAGGCUGCCAAAAGCUUAACUUCCCAGGAAAAAUGGGAAGCCCUCCCUGUCUCUGCUGGCUGCUCCUGAGAAAGGGUUGUGAGUGCACCUAGUCCUUUGCUUGGAGCAAUCCACGAGGCUUGGAUUACAUGGGAAUUCAUCUAACCCUGCACGUUUCAUGGCUCAGUGAGCAUAUCUGGGAACAAACUGAUGUUUUAAAUUAAAUUUUGCUUCUGAUGUGCCAAAUCGACCACCUGGGUAGAUUCCUGAAUCUGCAUGUCUGGCUGUGGAGCACCACCCUCUGAGGCAGCUGAAUCCCAUCCAUCUGCCACCCUCCAGCCCACAAUUUAGCCCAGAAGUUGCGUUUUUCUUAAGUGCACCCCAUCCUAGGCAGUUACCAUGGCAACCCAGGGCCCGACUGUCAGACGUCAAUCCUGCUACAACUCUGCUGCUGUCAGGAUACAGCUAAAUCUCUAAGGAAUGGAAGACAUAUUUCAUGGU